rnacentral:rRNA from 1 species
CCUACGGGUGGCAGCAGUGGGGAAUAUUGCACAAUGGGGGAAACCCUGAUGCAGCGACGCCGCGUGAGUGAAGAAGUAUUUCGGUACGUAAAGCUCUAUCAGCAGGGAAGAAAAUGACGGUACCUGACUAAGAAGCCCCGGCUAACUACGUGCCAGCCGCCGCGGUAAUACGUAGGGGGCAAGCGUUAUCCGGAUUUACUGGGUGUAAAGGGAGCGUAGGCGGCAGCGCAAGUCUGGAGUGAAAUCCCAUGGCUUAACCAUGGAACUGCUUUGGAAACUGUGCAGCUAGAGUGCAGGAGAGGUAAGCGGAAUUCCUAGUGUAGCGGUGAAAUGCGUAGAUAUUAGGAAGAACACCAGUGGCGAAGGCGGCUUACUGGACUGUAACUGACGUUGAGGCUCGAAAGCGUGGGGAGCAAACAGGAUUAGAUACCCCAGUAGUC